CCCAAAGAAUAAUAAAUGCUUUUGGAAGAAGGCUGAAAAUUCCAGGAAAGCAGGAAAGCAAACAGACAAGCCUAAUGAAACCACAGUUGAUGCUAUUUUGAAUAAAAUAAAGAGAAAAGAAGAAGAAUUUAAACAAUGUCCAGAGAAGGACAGAAGGACAAACAUUUUAAAAAUCAUAAAGCUUUGUUUUUGUGCAUGAUAACUGCAGCAAAAUUAAUAUUGUAUGCACACAGAUGGAAAAAUUUGGCCUUGCUCACAAUGGAGACUGAUUGGUGAAGAUGAUGGAACUUGCUGAGACGGCUAAAUUUACUUCUUUGAUCAGAGGAAAGACAAUAGCUGCAUACAUGGCUGACUGGAAAUUCCUUAUGGACUUUUUGCAUAAA